rnacentral:rRNA from 1 species
UAAUACGGAGGGUGCAAGCGUUGUUCGGAAUUAUUGGGCGUAAAGAGCGUGUAGGCGGUUUAAUAAGUCAGAUGUUAAAGCCCCCGGCUCAACCGGGGAUUGUCAUUUGAAACUGUUAGGCUUGAGUGCGAGAGAGGGUAGUGGAAUUCCCAGUGUAGCGGUGAAAUGCGUAGAUAUUGGGAAGAACACCAGUAGCGAAGGCGGCUACCUGGCUCGCAACUGACGCUAAGGCGCGAAAGCGUGGGGAGCAAACAGGAUUAGAUACCCUGGUAGUCCACGCUGUGAACGAUGAACACUAGGUGUUGGUUUGCCGCAGGCUGAUCAGUGCCGGAGUUAACGCAUUAAGUGUUCCGCCUGGGGAGUACGAUCGCAAGGUUG